AUACAGAGGAAAUGAGAGAUUCACGUCUGAGCACAACUCCGGUGGCACAAAUUCAAUGUUGUGGACAAUUGCAGAUGAAGAGGAAUGUGACACCUCUUUGAUCAGAAGAGCAACAGAUACUUUGAGAACAUCAGGAGGGAAUCUAAGUUGUCAGAAGACAAAGUGGAAGAGGAUCGGAGGGCCAAAGCUCUCAACAACCGAAGACAUAGACUUUUCAAUUCACGCCGAUCUGCUGCUCGCUCAUCUUAACCAAUGAGGAGUACAGAUACCUGGAACGGGCGCCUGCAUGCAUGAUGAGCGACGAGGAGACGGACACUGAAGACAAAGACGUGUGGAAAGCAUAUCCAC